rnacentral:lncRNA from 13 species
AUGUGGUCUAGUUUACCCUGGUUCGGGUGGCAUGUAGCCGUGGCUAUAUUCUUCCCCUUUGCAGCUCCUUACUUGAAUAUGGGUCCUCUGACUAAGGCUACCAUUGCUGUUAUCCAGCUUGCGUUAUGGGUCGAGAAGGUGAGGAAUUCAUGGGUUUUUAACUUCCUCCGGAAUGUGGGCACAUGGAUAAACAGCUAUCACACACUGAGCACAUGUUUUUGGGGUUAUGUUAACAAUGGUACCUUCUGUGAGGAAAUGACACCAGGGGAAGUUUUCUCCCAACCCCUCAACCAGUUCUUUGGGCCCACCCCAUCAAUUUUCGAAGGGUUUAAAUUCCCUCUGAAUACUAACCAUCUGCUGCUGAUAGGCCUACUCUAUUUAGCAUUCAAGGAUAAGUUGAGAUUGGCUUGGAUAUCUACCCGGACACCAGCCCCAGAGACUAGAGAUCCUACCCCAGAGCCUGAUCCUGCCCCAGAACCUGACAUGGCCCCAGAGAGUAGAGUUCCUACCCCAGAGCCUGAUCCUGCCCCAGAGCCUGACACGGCCCCAGACACUAGAGAUCCUACCCCAGAGCCAGAGCCUGCCACAGCCCCAGACACUAGAGAUCCCGCCCCACAGACUGAUACUGCCCAACAGUCCACCUCAGAAAUGGACUACCCAAACUGGGUGGGGGUACUGGCAAAAAGAAUGCAGGAGUAUCAUCAUAGAAUGCAGUGGAAGACACUCGAGCAAGGGAUCCAACAGCUAAGAGAGGUGGCAAUAUUAGAGGUACUCUUUGGGAAGGAUGGACAGCAUGAUAAUGACCCCGAUAAGGUCAGGUGCACAGGACAGAUGAUGUGGAACCUGGCAAGGCUAGGGCCAUCACAAUACACCACCUUCAUUGCAACGAUUGAUGCUGACAAUACCCGAGAAACAGUGGGCUCUGUUGCCAACAGGCUCAGGCAUUAUGACAGCAUGAUCAAUGGCCCGCUAAAAGCUCAUGUCUCUGCUGUGGUCCAGGACCUCAAAGAGGAGAUGAAGGAGAUGAGGGAGGAGAUGAGGGAGGAGAUGAGGGAGGAGAUGAGGAGGGUCAGUGUGGCACCAGUGCGAGUCACAGGCCCCCAAGUCAGAGCCCGUCGUCCCCCUGCUAGAGAGAGAGGGUACACCCCACGAGCUGAGCUGUGGUUUUUCCUGUGUGAGCAUGGGGAAGACAUGAGAAGGUGGGAUGGGAAACCCACCUCUGCCCUGGCAGCGCGGGUGCGUGAACUCAAGGAGGGAGGCACUAACCGAGGGGGUUCCGCUAAGGUGAAGGUAGCCUCAGCCUCCCGUGACCGAGCUGCCAGGCAUUACAGAAGGGAGGAUGAUAUGUCGGAUCCCCUUGAAGGUACCUCGAGCAUGUACGCCCAGGGAAAGAAUGAUAACCAGGGCUAGAGGGGCCCUGCCUCUAGCCAGGAAGAGGCACGGGAGAACCGAGUUUUCUGGACGGUGUGGAUCCGAUGGCCUGGCACAUCAGAGCCACAAAAAUAUGAUGCAUUGGUUGAUA